UACGGAGGGGGCUAGCGUUGUUCGGAAUUACUGGGCGUAAAGCGCACGUAGGCGGCUUUGUAAGUUAGAGGUGAAAGCCCAGGGCUUAACCCUGGAAUUGCCUUUAAGACUGCAUCGCUAGAAUCGUGGAGAGGUGAGUGGAAUUCCGAGUGUAGAGGUGAAAUUCGUAGAUAUUCGGAAGAACACCAGUGGCGAAGGCGACUCACUGGACACGUAUUGACGCUGAGGUGCGAAAGCACGGGGAUCAAACAGG
rnacentral:rRNA from 1 species